UUGCAGUACCUUUGGGGUAGCCUUCUUCUCAUUGUUGUACCAUCUUCACCAUCUUCAAGCCAGUUCCCUUGGUGUAGUCGUCUUCUCAUUGUUGUACCAUCUUUAAGCUAGUUCCAAACUCCUUGUAUUUGCAGUCCCGUUGUUGUAGCCUUCUUCUUGUUGUUGUAUCAUCUUCAAGCUAGGUAACAUUGACUCCUCUUGCCACACUUAUUUUUAACAAUGUGCCUUUUUUCUUUUUUAAAUUUUACAUCAGAUUGAAAAUUUGUCCUAUUUGAUUUCAAUAGGCUUUUAGUGAUUGAGCUUGGUCACCGAUUUUAGCAUCCCUUAAGAUUCUUUUAUUCCCAAUGCAAAUUUUAGAUGCUUAUGAGUUGUUGCCUACAAAUAUAUUUUUGAACCUUGUAUUGAUUUGACCACCUAUAAAUAUAUUGUAUUUUUGAAAGCCCUAGAAAAUUCCUUUUAUUCAGAGUACAAAAUUCAGAUGCUUAUGAAAUUUAUUCAUGUGGAAUUGAUGGAUUUCAAUGUUGACUUUAUAUUGAAUUUAUGAAAAACAAAAAUUGCUUUUGAGCACAGUAUGACAAUUUGUGAGGCUCAUUUCGUGUGGAAAUAUGAAUUUCAAUGUGGGCUUUAUAUUGAAUUUAUGGAUAACAAAGAUUGUUUUUGAGCAUAGUAUGACGGUUUGUGAGGCUCAGUUCGUGUGGAAUUGAUGGAUUACAAUGUUGGUUUUAUAUUGAUUUUAUGGAUAAAAAAAUUGCUUAUGAGCAUAAUAUGACGUUUUGUGGGACUCAUUUUGUGUGGAAUUGAUGGAUUAAAAAGUGGGCUUUAUAUUGAAUUUAUGGAUAACAAAAAUUGCUUUUGAGCAUAAAAUGACGGUUUGUGAGGUUCAUUUCGUGUGGAAUUGAUGAAUUACAAUGUGGGCUUUAUAUUGAAUUUAUGGAUAACAAAGAUUGCUUUUGAGCAUAGUAUGACGGUUUGUGAUGGAUUACAAUGUGGGUUUUAUAUUGAUUUUAUGGAUAACAAAAAUUGCUUAUGAGCAUAAUAUGACGUUUUGUGGGGCUCAUUUCGUGUGGAAUUGAUGGAUCAAAAAGUGGGCUUUAUAUUAAAUUUAUAGAUAACAAAGAUUGCUUUUAAACAUAAAAUGACGGUUUGUAAGGCUCAUUUCGUGUGGAAUUGAUGGAUUACAAUGUGAGUUUUAUAUUGAAUUUACGGAUAACAAAGAUUGCUUUUGAGCAUAGUAUGACGGUUUGUGAUGGAUUACAAUGUGGGUUUUAUAUUGAUUUUAUGGAUAACAAAAAUUGCUUACGAGCAUAAUAUGACGUUUUGUGGGGCUCAUUUCGUGUGGAAUUGAUGGACCAAAAAGUGGGCUUUAUAUUAAAUUUAUAGAUAACAAAGAUUGCUUUUAAACAUAAAAUGACGGUUUGUAAGGCUCAUUUCGUGUGGAAUUGAUGGAUUACAAUGUGAGUUUUAUAUUGAAUUUACGGAUUACAAAGAUUGCUUUUGAGCAUAGUAUGACGGUUUGUGAGACUCAUUUUGUGUGAAAUUGAUGGAUUAAAAUGUGGGCUUUAUAUUGAAUUUAUUGAUAACAAAGAUUUUUUUUGAGCAUAGUGUGACGGUUUGUGAAGCUCAUUUCUUGUGGAAUUGAUGGAUUAAAAUGUGGGCUUUAUAUUAAAAAAUUUCAUCUCAUGGUGGGACACAGACGUGGUUUUGGAGGAAACAACCAAGUUUCCUGAACUAACUGUGCAAGUAUGUAACUGCCUUGUAAUCUUUUAAUUUUAAAAAAUAAGAUACUUAUCAGAAUUUUUAUAUGUUGAAUCAUGCUCAGGAGAAUGGCCUUAAAUGAAUUUUGGUAUUAGCUAUUAUAUAGAAGCGUUGAUAUUCUUUUAUCAACUUGUUUUCUUUGAAAUUUCUGGAGUAAUUGUAGUCAGAAACAGAACAAUGGCCUCACAAAGGUUAGCUUUUAUUUGGGAAAAGGAAGGCCCCAAAUGUCGUCAAAGCUCUCUCAAAAUGUCUAGAGAAACAUGGGGUGUGAUUAUAGUUCAUAAUGGUAGAAAUUUGUCUACUUCAUUUGAAAGCUUUGCCUGCAAAUAAUUUUUUUGAUAGGUUGGUAAGACUCUCUUGCCAUCCUUUCUCAUUUGUAAAAACAAACAACUGAUAAGUAUACAUCGAUAUCUAGUUGAUUGGAUUUGUCUUGAUCUAAUAUUUUAUUGAAAAUAAUUUAUAGCAAUGGUAUUGCUUUGGAUGUAUUACCCCAAGUUGCUAGAAAAGGAAGGGCACUUGCUUUUCUAAUUGAAAAACUAAAUGUUGACGGACUUGGACCAUGCUACACUCUUGGUUGUGGUUUUUCUCUGUGUUAAUUGGUUUCUUCAUGAAUAAAUUAUCAUUGAUGUUGUGUGUUCCUGCUUAUUUUGAUUUGAUAAGAUCUCUUUGAAACUGGUAGAAGAGCUAUGAACUUGGUACAAGAGCUAGGAAGUUAUAAAGGCUGUUCGGAUUGAGUUUUGAGCUUUUCCAUUUUUGUCUCAACAUUGUUUUAACUGCCAAUUCUGGUUAUCUGACUGAAUGAAUUAAAUGCAUAAUUUUUUAUCA